rnacentral:misc_RNA from 1 species
AGAGAGAGAGAGAGAGAGAAGGUUGAUGUGGAUUUAUUUUUAUUAAAUUAAAAAUUACAACAGGAGUUCCACACAAGCCAAUAGACCAGAACACUUGCAGAAUCAUUUAAUAGGGAUUUUAAUGUGCUUUAAAUAGAAGUCGAGGAGUUUUAAGUGACAAAUUGAAGAUGAGGGACAAUAGUGUGAUAAGGGAUAUAAUUGAUGGACAACAAGUGUUAAGCCUAUAUGCACAGUGUAAAUAAUAAAAUCUCCGCCUAAGUAGUUUGUACUUAACCGGUCCCAAUCCCAAAUAAAGGAAAA